rnacentral:ncRNA from 1 species
GAUUGCAUUUUUUAACGACCUCUCUGCAAUCGCGGCUG